rnacentral:rRNA from 1 species
GGGAUACGUCCCUGCCCUUUGUACACACCGCCCGUCGCUACUACCGAUUGAAUGGCUCAGUGAGGCGUCCGGACUGGCCCAGAGAGGUGGGCAACUACCACUCAGGGCCGGAAAGCUCUCCAAACUCGGUCAUUUAGAGGAAGUAAAAGUCGUAACAAGGUCUCCGUUGGUGAACCAGCGGAGGGAUCAUUACCGAGUUUACAACUCCCAAACCCCUGUGAACAUACCACUUGUUGCCUCGGCGGAUCAGCCCGCUCCCGGUAAAACGGGACGGCCCGCCAGAGGACCCCUAAACUCUGUUUCUAUAUGUAACUUCUGAGUAAAACCAUAAAUAAAUCAAAACUUUCAACAACGGAUCUCUUGGUUCUGGCAUCGAUGAAGAACGCAGCAAAAUGCGAUAAGUAAUGUGAAUUGCAGAAUUCAGUGAAUCAUCGAAUCUUUGAACGCACAUUGCGCCCGCCAGUAUUCUGGCGGGCAUGCCUGUUCGAGCGUCAUUUCAACCCUCAAGCCCUCGGGUUUGGUGUUGGGGAUCGGCGAGCCCUUGCGGCAAGCCGGCCCCGAAAUCUAGUGGCGGUCUCGCUGCAGCCUCCAUUGCGUAGUAGUAAAACCCUCGCAACUGGAACGCGGCGCGGCCAAGCCGUUAAACCCCCAACUUCUGAAUGUUGACCUCGGAUCAGGUAGGAAUACCCGCUGAACUUAAGCAUAUCAAUAAGCGGAGGAA